rnacentral:rRNA from 1 species
UACGUAGGCAGCAAGCGUUGUUCGGAGUUACUGGGCGUAAAGGGUGUGUAGGCGGUUGUUUAAGUUUGGUGUGAAAUCUCCCGGCUCAACUGGGAGGGUGCGCCGAAUACUGAAUGACUAGAGUGCGGGAGAGGAAAGUGGAAUUCCUGGUGUAGCGGUGAAAUGCGUAGAUAUCAGGAGGAACACCUGUGGUGUAGACGGCUUUCUGGACCAUAGCUGACGCUGAGACACGAAAGCGUGGGUAGCAAACAGG